AACGCUGGCGGCACGCCUAACACAUGCAAGUCGAGCCGAGAAAGUGACUUCGGUCGCGAGUAAAGCGGCGAACGGGUGAGUACAACGUGGAUAAUCUACCCUAGGGUCUGGGACAACCCCGAGAAAUCGGGACUAAUACCGGAUAAGACCACAGUAUCCAAGGAUACAGCGGUAAAAGAUUUAUCGCCUUUGGAUGAGUCCACGUCCCAUCAGGUAGUUGGUAAGGUAAAAGCUUACCAAGCCUAAGACGGGUAGCCGGCCUUAGCGGGUGAACGGCCACAUGGGGACUGAGACACGGCCCUGACUCCUACGGGAGGCAGCAGUGGGGAAUAUUGGGCAAUGGGCGAAAGCCUGACCCAGCGAUGCCGCGUGAGGGAUGAAGGCCUUCGGGUUGUAAACCUCUGUCAGGAGGGACGAUGGGACACUUGUGUCUUGACGGUACCUCCAGAGGAAGCCCCGGCUAACUCCGUGCCAGCAGCCGCGGUAAUACGGAGGGGGCAAGCGUUGCUCGGAAUUACUGGGCGUAAAGGGUCCGCAGGCUGUCGGGUAAGUUGGAUGUGAAAGCUCAAGGCUUAACCUUGGAAUUGCAUCCAAAACUGCCUGACUAGAGUCCAAGAGAGGUUGGCGGAAUUCCCGGUGUAGCGGUGAAAUGCAUAGAUAUCGGGAGGAACACCAGA
rnacentral:rRNA from 1 species